GAUGAACGCUGGCGGCGUGCCUAAUACAUGCAAGUCGAGCGAACAGACGAGUAGCUUUCCCCUCUGACGUUAGCGCCGGACGGUUGCGUAACACGUGGAUAACCUACCUAUAAGACUGGGAUAACUUCGGGUAACCGGAGCUAAUACCGGAUAAUAUAUUGAACCGCAUGGUUCAAUAGUGAAAGACUGUUUUGCUGUCCCUUAUAUAUGGAUCCGCGCCGCAUUAGCUAGUUGGUAAGGUAACGGCUUACCAAGGCAACGAUGCGUAGCUUACCUGAGAGGGUGAUCGGCCACACUGGAACUGAGACACGGUCCAGACUCCUACGGGAGGCAGCAGUAGGGAAUCUUCCGAAAUGGGCGAAAGCCUGACGGAGCAACGCCGCGUGAGUGAUGAAGGUCUUCGGAUCGUAAAACUCUGUUAUUAGGGAAGAACAAAUGUGUAAGUAACUAUGCACGUCUUGACGGUACCUAAUCAGAAAGCCACGGCUAACUACGUG
rnacentral:rRNA from 1 species